AAGCAUUUAAAGGUCGAACAGACUUAACUUUAAAGCUCCUGCACCAAAAGUAAAUUUUAAUCCAACAUCGAGGUCGCAAACUCUAAUUUCAAUAUGAACUCUAAAAAAGAAUUACGCUGUUAUCCCUAAGGUAAUUUAAUCUUAUAAUCUCAAACCAAGGAUCAAAUAUUCAUAAAUAAAUGUUAUAAAAAAAGAAAAGUUUUAACAAUUUUCCAAUCACCCCAACCAAAUAAGACAUAAUUCAAAUAAACUCAAUCCCUUAAAUAAAAUAAAUCUAAUCUUAUAAAACUCUAUAGGGUCUUCUCGUCUUUUAUUAACAUAUCAGCCUUUUAACUAAAAAGUUAAAUUCAAUAAAAUUUAAAUAAAGACAGUAAUUCUCUCGUCCUACCAUUCAUACCAGCUCCCAAUAAAGAAACUAAUUAUUAUGCUACCUUUGCACAGUCAGAAUACUGCGGCCCUUCAAUAAAUCAGUGGGCAGGCAAGACCUUAAAUAAUAAUCAAAAGGAC
rnacentral:rRNA from 1 species